AACGAACGCUGGCGGCAGGCCUAACACAUGCAAGUCGAGCGCCCCGCAAGGGGAGCGGCGGACGGGUGAGUAACGCGUGGGAACGUACCCUUUGCUACGGAAUAGCCUCGGGAAACUGGGAGUAAUACCGUAGGUGCUCUUCGGAGGAAAGAUUUAUCGGCAAAGGAUCGGCCCGCGUUGGAUUAGGUAGUUGGUGGAGUAAUGGCCUACCAAGCCGACGAUCCAUAGCUGGUUUGGGAGGAUGAUCAGCCACACUGGGACUGAGACACGGCCCAGACUCCUACGGGAGGCAGCAGUGGGGAAUCUUAGACAAUGGGCGCAAGCCUGAUCUAGCCAUGCCGCGUGAGCGAUGAAGGCCUUAGGGUUGUAAAGCUCUUUCAGUGGGGAAGAUAAUGACUGUACCCACAGAAGAAGCCCCGGCUAACUCCGUGCCAGCAGCCGCCGCGG
rnacentral:rRNA from 1 species